UACGGAGGAUCCAAGCGUUAUCCGGAUUUAUUGGGUGUAAAGGGUUCGUAGGCGGUGUGGCAAGUCGGGAGUGAAAUCUCUGGGCUCAACUCAGAGACUGCUUCCGAAACUGCUGUGCUGGAGUGUGGGAGAGGCGCGUGGAAUUGCAGGUGUAGCGGUGAAAUGCGUAGAUAUCUGCAGGAACACCCGUGGCGAAAGCGGCGCGCUGGACCACUACUGACGCUGAGGAACGAAAGCUAGGGGAGCAAACAGG
rnacentral:rRNA from 1 species